UACAGAGGUCUCAAGCGUUGUUCGGAAUCACUGGGCGUAAAGGGUGCGUAGGCGGCAUGGUAAGUCAGAGGUGAAAUCCCGGAGCUCAACUUCGGAAUUGCCUCCGAUACUGCCAUGCUUGAGGACUGGAGAGGAGAUUGGAAUUCACAGUGGAGCAGUGAAAUGCGUAGAUAUUGUGAGGAACACUAGUGGCGAAGGCGAAUCUCUGGACAGUUCCUGACGGCUGAGG
rnacentral:rRNA from 1 species